GUCUUUUUGAAAUAAUUUAAAGUCUAAUCUGCCCACUGAUAAAAAUUAAAGGGCUGCAGUAUAAUGACUGUACAAAGGUAGCAUAAUCAAUAGUUUUUUAAUUGGAAACUUGUAUGAAAGAUUUGAUGAAAUAUAAACUGUCUCUAUUUUAUAAAUUGAAUUUUAUUUUUUAGUAAAAAAGCUAAAAUAAAUUUAAAAGACGAGAAGACCCUAUAGAGUUUUAUAUUUAAUUUUAUUUGAAAAUUAUAUAAAAAUUACUAUUUAAAUAAAAUUAAUUAUUAUGUUGGGGUGACAGAAAAAUUAAAUUAACUUUUUUUAAAAAUUAAACAUAAAUAAAUGAUUAUAUGAUCCAUAAAUAAUGAUUAUAAGAAAAAAUUACCUUAGGGAUAACAGCGUAAUAUUUUUUUUUAGUUCAAAUAAAAAAGAAAGUUUGCGACCUCGAUGUUGGAUUAAGAUAAAAUUUAAAUGCAAAAGUUUAAAAUUUUUGAUCUGUUCGAUCAUUAAAAUCUUACA
rnacentral:rRNA from 1 species